rnacentral:rRNA from 1 species
ACUGGGCGUAAAGGGCGCGUAGGCGGUUAAAUGAGUGUGAUGUGAAAGCCCUGGGCUUAACCUAGGAAGCGCAUCGCAAACGAUUUGACUGGAGUAGAUGAGAGGGUGGCGGAAUUUCCGGUGUAGCGGUGAAAUGCGUAGAGAUCGGAAGGAACGUCAAUGGCGAAGGCAGCCACCUGGCAUCAUACUGACGCUGAGGCGCGAAAGCGUGGGGAGCGAACAGGAUUAGAUACCCUGGUAGCCCACGCUGUAAACGAUGAUAACUAAAUGUUGUUAGGGGAACCUAUCAGUAUUGAAGCUAACGCGAUAAGUUAUCCGCCUGGGAAGUACGGCCGCAAGGUUGAAACUCAAAUGAAUUGACGGGGGCCCGCACAAGCGGUGGAGCAUGUGGUUUAAUUCGAUGCAACGCGAAGAACCUUACCUACCCUUGACAUCCUAGGAAUUCUGCAGAGAUGCGGAAGUGCCGAAAGGAACCUAGAGACAGGUGCUGCAUGGCUGUCGUCAGCUCGUGUUGUGAGAUGUUGGGUUAAGUCCCGUAACGAGCGCAACCCUUGUUCUUAGUUACCAGCAUUUAGUUGGGGACUCUAAGAAGACUGCCGGUGUUGAAC